GACGAACGCUGGCGGCGUGCUUAACACAUGCAAGUCGAGCGGUAAGGCCCUUUCGGGGGUACACGAGCGGCGAACGGGUGAGUAACACGUGGGUGACCUGCCCUCAGCUCUGGGAUAAGCCUGGGAAACCGGGUCUAAUACUGGAUAUGACUCCAUGACGCAUGUUGGUGGGGUAGGAAAGCCCUGUGCGGCUGAGGAGUCGGGCCCGCGGCCUAUCAGCUUGGUUGGGUGGGGUGANGGCCUACCAAGGCGACGACGGGUAGCCGGCCUGAGAGGGCGACCGGCCACACUGGGACUGAGACACGGCCCAGACUCCGUACGGGAGGCAGCAGGUGGGGAAUCUUGCGCAAGUGGGCGAAAGCCUGACGCAGCGACGCCGCGUGAGGGAUGGAC
rnacentral:rRNA from 1 species